rnacentral:rRNA from 1 species
UGAACGACUCUCGGCAACGGAUAUCUCGGCUCCCGCAUCGAUGAAGAACGUAGCGAAAUGCGAUACUUGGUGUGAAUUGCAGAAUCCCGCGAACCAUCGAGUCUUUGAACGCAAGUUGCGCCCGAAGCCACUAGGCCGAGGGCACGCCUGCCUGGGCGU